UUUGGCUGUGGAAGGAAAAGAAGGAAAUGCUGUGAUGUGUGUUUUAUAUGAAUGCCCUGAUUAUCAUCUGCACACUCCACGUUUACUUAGUGGUGUUGAAGAACCUGAAAAGAUGAUAACUGAAGCAGACAUUACAAAGACAGAGUUAUGGCAUGAAUAUGACGGUGCACAGCCCAGAAAUAGGUAAAAAUUAA